CUAAAAUUGUCCCUGGUGUGACUGGAACAUAUCUAACUGCAACCAGGCCUGCCAUGAGAACAGUCUUGGUUUCCACUAACGCAAUGACGCGUAACCGGACAUCUCAGCGUCAGGAACUACAUAAGAGCUGUUACCAAAAUUCUCAUUUACAUUUGCUCGCGUUUAGACCUCUGGAAAAGUUAAUAGGUCUAUUUGACAAUUUACUAAUGGGAUUUUUUUUGUUGUCCUCGUUUGACAAAAUAAUUAAUAGGCCUAUCAAGAAGAAGUAGGCUACCUCAGGUUGCAGUUACUUUGUUGUAGUCUACUCUGAAGAGAAGUGUAUUAUCUUAUCGAAAAAAGCCACUGAAACACCAAAAGAUGGACUCACCAGCAAGCCCCCUCACUCGUGCUGGGAGGACUUUCUGGACAGUUUGGAACUACUUUACGGAAGUUGUGGGGAGGUAUCUAAGCCCAGAGUCCAUUAACAAUGACACAAGCUCAAGACAGGAAGCCACUGCUGCACAACAAACAGACGACCAUGGAGAUGGUGCGAAAAAUGAGAUAAAGGAAACUGAGGUCACUUUUGAAACAGGCUCUGAGGUUAAGAAACCAAGAUCUGUUGUUGCCUGGGAACAGUGCAAUGUCAUCAUUGGUCCAGGCCUCGGCAGAGACAAUGUGCAAUACACUGGACAAUCCAACAGAGGGAGUGAUAGCAAAUCAUCCCCGGAGGGGCAUGAUAUAAAACAAGAGCAGGUGGACCGAACAGAAAAUAAAGGCACAAUCCAGCAUGUUACUAAAGAAGAAUUAAAUAUGGGGAAAGGGGUCCAAUCAGUGGUAGUCACUGGGAUCCCGAUCUUAUUUAGAGAGCCGACAUCUGAAAGGUCAGAGGGCCAGGGAGCACAAGGACAGACUGACAGUUACAACUGUGCUGAAGCAAAAAGAUUAAGAGGUGCAGUGGCAGAAAGAAAAGCGGAGGAAGAAGAAAUCCCUGAAGAAGUUACUGAAGAAUUCCCCUGUGGUGAAGAAGGAACCAAAACAGAAGAACAUGAAAACAAUAGAGAUGGAGAAAUACAUUUUGAUAUAGAGUCCCCAAACCUUACAUCAGCCUGUGCUGAACCUGCCACACUUUUGGAUAAGAAUGGAGACAAGGAAAAUAAGGACAGAUUAAUGAAACACGAUGUGCAAAGUACAGAGGAUGAAACCAUGGUAAAAUUAAAUGAAAACGAUGGAGAGAAAGAAACGGAAGUACUCUUCAUGGAGACAGGCAGAGAAGGGUGGAAAGUAGCAGAAAUAGUAGAAUUCUCAGCGGGAGGGGAGAAUAGCGAUGAUCUGUGUGUAAUCAAAGACAAACUGAGUCGAGAUGGUAAUGAAGUGAAGAAUGACAUGGACAUGGAAGAACUUGGGAGGAAGGAGGAGAGAGAGGAAGAGAAUAGAGCAAUAGAAGAGAUGGGCAGAAGAGAACAGGAAGAGAUAUUGGACAGGGGCUUUGGACCGUACAAUGAUUUCCAAGUCUCAGAAAACAAUAACAAACAUGAAUAUGGUGACAAUCGUUUGAAGUUUGAUGAAGGAACUAUAGAGAGGUUUGAUCAAGAAAAUGACCCCAACCCACAACCACUUUGUGGAGGAUUAUCAGACGAAGACAGAACAUUGGGAAAAGGCCAGGACAUCUUUGUUUCAGAGGCAGAGUUGGAAUUGCCAAUGGCCUAUGACAAAAGAGUCUUUGUGUCAAAUGAUGAGAUAACUAUUGUUAGAGACGAGCAGAGAAUGGAGGGCAACACUGAAAGAAUUGACAGCACAGUGUUAGAGGAAAGAAAAGAAGAGGUAUCAGAGGAUGGAUCCAAAGUGUUUGAGGUCGGGGGCAGUAACAAGAUAGAAGACAUUGCAAUCGGUAUUGGGACGAAGACGGAUACAGAGGCAGAGGAUGUGAAAGAUAAAGUGACUGGGCUGGACACUUUCUUUUAUCAGGAGAGAAAUGUUGUAGUGGAGAAAAAUAAACUACAGGAAGACAAGAUUUUAAAGGAAGACGAAGACCCCCUUAAUGAAGUGGAGGGAAAACGUAUUUCAGUGGUUGACAAUAGAGUGGAAAUCAGAGGCGUGGCAAAAUACAUUUCCCCUGGGCUAUGUGAGGACCUUGUUGUGGCUCAGGAGCCAAAACGUGUAGCGUGUGAAGAAACUCGAGAGGAAAUUCCUGAAAUCAACAACGGCAAAGAGUUAGACGAGAAUACGGCACCGAAGAUCCUGGAAGUUGGCGGCGCUGAAGUCAACACCACCCGUUUACAAGAAGCACACACCAAAAGUGAUACCAAAGGGUUAGAAGGUGUAGAGAACACUGGAACUAGUUUUAAAUUGGACAAUUCACCAGUGAGUGAACUCAUGGAAGGGAAAGAAGACCCGAAAACUGUUGAAGGAUUAUUUGAAAGUGAGGAUAUUGAGAAAGCCUCUGAUACAGUGGUAGACGAGCACACAGUCACGAAAGCAGCGAAAUCACUGGGGGAAACGGAGAGAACAGAUUCUGUAUCACUGAAUGAAACAGAUACUCAAAUACUAGAGGACCUAGCGAAGACAAAGGCUGAAUCACACAAACCGAUGGAGAUUGAGUUAGGACUGUCAGAGGAAGCCGCAGAGACAUAUGUUUGUUUAUCAGAGGAGACACUGAGAACAGAGGCUGGAUUAUACAAAGAGACAGAGGAGAUAAAGGUCGAGUUUAGAGAGGGAUUCAUGGAGUCAAAGGCAGGGGAGACAGUGGGGACAGAAUUUGAAUCAGUGAAGGAGACACAGGCAGAAAUACCAGAAGUGAGGACCGGGGUUGUGCCAUCAGACGACAAAGAUGAGACAGAGUCUGGAUCAAUGCAGGAAUCAGCAGAUACCAAUUUUGGAUUGCUAAGAGAAACUGUGGCGGAAGGGUUACAAAAGGGGGCCGAGGUAGACACACCAGAGGUGAGGACAGUGACUGUGCUGUCAAUGGAGACAAACACAGAGGAAUCAGUGGAAUCUGAGGCUCGGGUCAUGUUGGAAACAGAAUCUGGAUUAGUGAAAAAACAUGAGGCAGAAAUACCAGAUGUGAGAACUGAAACUGCAUCAUCAGAAAGAACUGUGACGACAGAGGCAGGAUUAUCAAUGAACAUGACAUUGUACCCAUCAUCAAUUCACACAGAGGCUGUGUUUCUCACAGAGACAAAGGCUGUGUCAUCUAAUGAGUCACUGGAAACAGACAAUGGAUUAUCAGACAAAUCAUCUGAGGCUGGGACUAAAUCACAGGGAAUGGUAGAGGCUGGAUUACCAGAUUCGACAGAAAUAGAGGCCAAAUUAUUUGAGGAAAUGGUUUGUGGAGAAGUUGUACUAUCACAGGACACAGAAGAUGAAUUAUCAGAGGAAAAAUAUAAUAUAAAAGCUACAUUAAUGAAAGAAUUAGUGGAGCCAGGGGCUGGGGAAACAUUGGAGCCCGAAAAGGGAAUCAUGAAUGAGACAGAAGCAGCAAUACUUGAUAUGAAGAUUGAGGAAUCGCCAUCAGAGGAAACAGAGUCUGGAAUAGUUGACACAGAGGCCAGAAUUUUUCUGGAAACGACAGCGAUUGAGUCUGAAUUAUUGGAGACUGAGUCUGGAUCACAGAAGGACAAAGAGACAAAAAGACAGAGUAUUGAGACAGAGCCAACGGGGGAGACAGACGUAGAGGAAUUAGUGGAAUCUGAGGCUGGGGAUACGGUGGAGGCAGAAAUUGGAUUAGUGAGGACAGAAGCCGAAUUACCAGAGGAAGUUAGGCCAAAGAUAGAGCAAUUGGAAAAAAUGAAUAGAACAGGUGCUGAUUCAUCAGAGGACACAGAUGUGACAGAGGUCAGAUUUUCAGAGGAGAUAGAGACUGAUUUAGUAGAGACCAAGUAUGGGUUACAGAAGAACAUAGAAGAAGACAUACUACAUGAGAGAACAGAGACUGUGCUGUCGGUGGAAACAGUAGAGAUGGAUACGGACUCAUCAGACAAGUCACUGGAGUCCAGAUCACUUGAAAUAUCAGAGGCUGGAUUAUCUGAAGAAUCAGUGGACAGUGAGGAUGGAUUAAAGGAUAUUUACACAGAAAUACCAGAUGUGGAGAAAGAGUCUGGAUUAGCAGAGGAGACCGUAGAUGCUGGAUUAUCAGAGGAAACAGAUGUGUCAGACACAGAAUUAGUGAAAAAUACAACGGCUCUGAUAAUGCUAGAGGCUGAACUUUCAGAGGCGACAGAGGCUGUGUUAAAAGAGAAGGCAGGAGAUAACACGGCAAACAAAUCACUGGAAAUUGAGGUAGGAUUAUUUUGGGAAAACGAUGAGACCGAGGCUUUGGUAACAGAGGAAGUUGUGAAGACAGGGCCUGUUUUAUCGAAGCAGACAGAUUUUGGAUCACAGGGUCAACUACCGGAGAUCGACGAUGGAAUAAUAGAGAAAUCCCAAAUUGGGCAGUCUGGGGAAACUGUGGAAACAGAUGCAGGAUUACCAGAGGAAAACAGAGGGGAGGGUGCAAAAGCAGGAUUCAGUUCCCCGUCAGGAACCAAAAAUGUAGACCAAAGUCUUCAGCUUCAGUUUGACGCCUCCUCUUUGGACUUCACUGCUCAAAAGUCUCGCAUUGCCCUCAAGAAUCCACAUGCCCGUCCACCCAGGGAUCCCCGUACUCUUCUACAGAUGCCAUCUUUGACCCCCUCCCCUUCAAAACCCACCGUACACAUUCCAGUCAGAGGCCCAACAGGGAUACCAAUGAGGGGCAUGGGCGGCAUCGGAAUCAAACUACCUGAAAUCUGAGCUUGAGCCAGAUGUAAGGGAUGAAUCUCCCAAGAAAGACGAGACGCAAGAGGAGCGCAAAACUAAAUGGACACCGCCUAGGCAUCCAGGAUUUGGAAAUCCCCUGAUGAUGAAUGAGCUGAAGAACAAGCUAAAGAAGACUCCAAAAGAGAGCGGAGAUGAUUGACAGGACCUUUUUUCUCAUUGGUGAACCAUGGUCCAUGAACAAUGGGUUUUAAUUUAUCAUAAGUAUCUCCAUUUUAUUUCAAACUAUCUUUGUCUAUUUCUUUUGAAUAUCUUUGUAUGAACAUUUUCAAAAAAAAUUAAUACAUUUUUGUUUUGGACAGUGUUUACUUGUUCCAGAGGGUUUUUAAAAACUGGUGUGAUAAAAAAAAGUUGACUGCUCAAGGCAUUAAAUUGAUUCAAGAAGACUAUUUGUGACAUUUGUUUAUUUCUUCAUCAGUGGGUUUGUUCCAGCAAAAAUACACCUCUUAUUAUUUCCGUGCUAAUUAUUGCUGUUGCUACUGUAGUUACCUACAGGGAAACCAGCUAUAGCGUCUUGAUAUUUGGGAUAGCCUAUAAUUGCCUAUACUGAUUGGUCUUAUGAAGCUGUUAUAUAAACCUUAAGAUUCAUUAUAUUUUUUUAAAACUGUUUAUUUUUUGGGGGGCUUGCCUGUUCGCUUGUUAUUUUGGCAUUAAUAUGUCACAUAUCAGUUUGCAAACAAUGUCAAAUAAAAUAAAAAAAUGUCAUUGAGUUAAUAAAGCUGCAUACAAACAUGG
ensembl:lncRNA